rnacentral:rRNA from 1 species
GCUUACAGAGACACCACCCCGAGUAUGUCUGAUCUUGGAAACUAAGGUGGGUCGGGCCUGGUUAGUACUUGGAUGGAAAACUGCCUGAGAACACGAGGUGGUGUAAACU